rnacentral:lncRNA from 1 species
GCUUUGUGGAAGGUACCUGUGGCGCUGAUGUUGAGGCCGAGAGUCAACAACAGUAGAAGAGGGAGUCCCAGACCCUAAAAAGCCUGCCGCUGAAAGGCCAACCCACCUCCCUCCUAAGAAGGCCUGGUUCCGACAGAGAUAGAUGGUGAAAAAGGGCACUCACAAGUUGAGAGGGAGUAAGAUCACUAGAAUACAGCAUGCGUUCAGACCACCACAGGACCCUAGAGAGAAUCACAGGAGAGAAUCACUGGAGAGCAUCACUGAGGACAGGGGAGAAUGACCAUCUACUUCCAAACAUGAGUUGUCCUAUUUGAAUAAACUUAUUUUCCUCCCCC